rnacentral:misc_RNA from 1 species
AACUUUCAGCAACGGAUCACUUGGCUCUCGCAUCGAGGAAGAACGCAGCGAAAUGCGACAAGUAAUGUGAAUUGCAGAAUUCAGUGAAUCAUCGAAUCUUUGAACGCACCUUGCGCUCCUUGGUAUUCGGAGGAGCAUGCCUGUUUGAGUGUCAUUAAUAUAAUCAACCUUCAACUUGUUUGAGUGGUUUGGAUGUGGGGGUUUGCUGGCCUUUCAAAAGGUUUCAGCUCCUCUGAAAUGCAUUAGCAGAACAAACCUUGUUCAUUGGUGUGAUAACUAUCUACGCUUAUGAAUGUGAGGGGCAGUUCAGCUUUCUAAUCGUCUUUGGACAAUUCAUCAUUAAUGUGACCUCAAAUCAGGUAGGACUACCCGCUGAACUUAAGCAUAUCAAUAAGCGGAGGC